UACGUAGGGAGCAAGCGUUGUCCGGAAUCAUUGGGCGUAAAGAGCGUGUAGGCGGCCAGAUAAGUCCGCUGUGAAAUCUCGAGGCUCAACUUCGAGCUGUCGGUGGAAACUAUCUGGCUAGAGUCCGGAAGAGGAGAAUGGAAUUCCUGGUGUAGCGGUGAAAUGCGCAGAUAUCAGGAAGAACACCCGUGGCGAAGGCGGUUCUCUGGGACGGUACUGACGCUGAGACGCGAAAGCGUGGGGAGCGAACAGG
rnacentral:rRNA from 1 species